rnacentral:lncRNA from 1 species
CUUCAAAAGACAAAUGAAGCUAAGCCUGAGCAUCAUGCCCUCUGCUCUGCCACCACCUCUGCUCCUUCCCACUUCUUACUCCCGUGAAUUAUGAUCAAAUCAAUACUACUUCUGCUAUGGGAAAAGAAAUCAGAGUGUGUGAAAAUGGCAAGAGAAGAGAAAGUGUUGGACUGAAUAACAGAAGGGUCUUUGAAGUCCAGUGGCAAGACAAAAGUCAAGACAACUGGUGAUAGGCCAAGAUGUAGCGGAUGACC